GGGUGCGAUCAUACCAACGUUAAUGCACCAGAUCCCAUCAGAACUCCACAGUUAAGCGCGCUUGGGCUAGAGUAGUAUUGGGAUGGGUGACCUCCUCGGAAAUCCUAGUGUUGCAUGCU
rfam:Picea glauca, whole genome shotgun sequence.